CCUACGGGAGGCAGCAGUGGGGAAUUUUCCGCAAUGGGCGAAAGCCUGACGGAGCAAUACCGCGUGAGGGAGGAAGGCUCUUGGGUUGUAAACCUCUUUUCUCAGGGAAGAUAAUGACGGUACCUGAGGAAUAAGCAUCGGCUAACUCCGUGCCAGCAGCCGCGGUAAUACGGAGGAUGCAAGCGUUAUCCGGAAUGAUUGGGCGUAAAGCGUCCGCAGGUGGUUUUGAAAGUCUGCUGUUAAAGCGUGCGGCUUAACCGCAUAAGGGCAGUGGAAACUAUGAGACUAGAGUGCGUUAGGGGCAGAGGGAAUUCCCAGUGUAGCGGUGAAAUGCGUAGAGAUUGGGAAGAACACCGGUGGCGAAGGCGCUCUGCUAUACCGUAACUGACACUGAGGGACGAAAGCUAGGGGAGCGAAUGGGAUUAGAUACCCCAGUAGUCCUAGCCGUAAACGAUGGAUACUAGGCGUUGUCUGUAUCGACCCGGACAGUGCCGUAGCUAACGCGUUAAGUAUCCCGCCUGGGGAGUACGCAGGCAACUGUGAAACUCAAAGGAAUUGACGGCUGAGACUCCGAAGCGACACAGGGAGUAGG
rnacentral:rRNA from 1 species